GCACAAGCACAGCUGACUGAACCACCGAGGAGCGCCACACCGAGCUAUUCCCCCCCCCACCCCUUCCCACCAUCAAAGCCAACGGACAGCAUGCCCCGGCUCUCAUUCUGGGCCGUUGGUAUGCUUGCCGGCUUUGGGGUAACAUAUGGUGGUUACUAUCGUGUCUACGUGCCACAGCGAGCUGCGAAGCUGGCGGCCGACCAGCGGUUAGAGCAGUGCAAGUUGCCGUAUCAAGACGCCAUUCGCGCCUAUUCCCGGCUGCAGAGAGCCGUCGAGCAGCAGGUCGCUAUUGCGUCUUCUCUCCCGUCAUCGUCGGCAGGCGCGCGACUGGACACCUCGGCGUGGCACACCAAUGGGGAAAAAAUUCGUUUCUUCUGCGAUGUGCAGCGCAUGCGGGCCCUGCUCCUGGGUCUCCCACACCACCUCAUCACCGAGAAGGACCUGCGCGCAAAGCUUCAGCAACUGUCCGUCUGGGAGUCGCAGCACUGCACAGAGCUCAACUUUCGAUCGGCUCCUCUUAGCUUUUCGCAAACGCUGCGGUCCUCUGCGUGCUUUGUGAUCUACCUGCUCUGCUUCCGCGUGCUCAGCCCGCUGCUGAGGGCGUGGGACAGCUCUGGCGGUUGGCAAGCCCGGCUCCAACACAGCGUGUCCACUCGUAUCGUCGAAGCCUUGGAGAUAAAGGUGCUGCUAACAGUUGCAGACUGUGAGUCGCUCAGCGGCAGCAGUGAAGCCGCCGGCGGGCCGUCUCGCGGCUACAUCACCCUCAACACAACGCACUGGAUCGAAGAGGUUGGUUUCUGGGCCUGCACCAACAACCCACUCCUGCAUCGCAGGCCCGCCAGCCCGCCGGCAGCUGUGGGGCGUCAGGGCGUGGACAGCUGUCACGUGGAACUCCUGCGCGGUUUCCCCAUCACGGCAUGCUCCUCAAAUGCCGCGCCGCAGGAUGGUGGCGUAUCGAGCUUCACCUUACCGGCGCUGCGGCAGCGGUGGUGCGACCUGCUCUGGUGUGGCCCUUCUGCUUCGGCGACCGCGUACACUACGGCGUAUGCUGAGCACUGGCGUCGGCUGGAGGCGCGGCAGCGGGAACGCCUGUCAAGGACAACUGAAGGUGGCGAAGCGGCGUCGCUGAUGACGGCGGCUGACGUCUCUCUCGGGUACCCAGUGCUCUCCUGCACCAGCCAGCUCGAGUGCGCCGUCGGCCAUGAGGCGUACUACAUCCCUGUGGGGAUCAGCGGCUUGCCGCACGUCUUGUACGUGGACGCGGCGCAUGCGAAGCCCGAUGUGCGGCCGCGGCGUACGCGCGAGGAGACGUACGCUCGCGUGCAGCAAGCACAAUUCGCACACGCCUCCUCUGCAGUGUCCGCGAAGCGCGCACCAGCUGAUUCGACGAUCGCGGCAGUGCCACAAACGCCGUCCAGGUUGCACGAGUGGCAAGCCCACCGCGGCUUUCCAUGCUGGUGCCGGGCAUGGUGGGGCGGUGUCUACGGCGGCGGUCCUCGUCGCUCGAGCACCACCCUUCACUACCACCUUGGCAGCGCGAGCACGGCGGCCGAGUACGCGAGUGCCGCCAUCGCGGCCAGUCAAGCUGCAGAAACCUUCACUGCCGCCGCUACCUCCGCGGUGUGAUUGUGUAGACACACUGCAGAUGAAGUGGGGAAAGGGCAAGCGGGGAGGUGGCAACGCCGUCGGCGCCGUGCUAGUCAUUACAUCCACUCGCAUGCACACAGAAGUCAUGGGUCUCUCUCUGUGUCUGUGCACGAAAUAGUCAAGAAGCAACCACAGGGUAGCCGAGGUGGUUUAAGGGCCGUGCGUGGGUGCCUGAUGCCAACAGGUGCAGCGGCACCCCUCUUUUCUUCCCUCAUUUUAUUGUUGCUGCUCCUCUCAGCUUUUUGCCUGGCGCUCCUGCAUGCUCUCUCGCGAAGGCUCAUCUUCGUGACGUAUGCCUGACCAGCCACCUCUCCUCCCCCGCGCCUGCCUCCCUGAUCGUUUGAACGCUUUCACGCACGCGCACGUGCAUGUGCGGGUGACUUUCUCGUGCAAUGCAG
rnacentral:misc_RNA from 1 species